GACGAACGCUGGCGGCGUGCCUAAUACAUGCAAGUUGAGCGCUGAAGGUUGGUACUUGUACCAACUGGAUGAGCAGCGAACGGGUGAGUAACGCGUGGGGAAUCUGCCUUUGAGCGGGGGACAACAUUUGGAAACGAAUGCUAAUACCGCAUAAAAACUUUAAACACAAGUUUUAAGUUUGAAAGAUGCAAUUGCAUCACUCAAAGAUGAUCCCGCGUUGUAUUAGCUAGUUGGUGAGGUAAAGGCUCACCAAGGCGAUGAUACAUAGCCGACCUGAGAGGGUGAUCGGCCACAUUGGGACUGAGACACGGCCCAAACUCCUACGGGAGGCAGCAGUAGGGAAUCUUCGGAAAUGGACGAAAGUCUGACCGAGCAACGCCGCGUGAGUGAAGAAGGGUUUCGGAUCGUAAAACUCUGUUGGUAGAGAAGAACGUUGGUGAGAGUGGAAAGCUCAUCAAGUGACGGUAACUACCCAGAAAGGGACGGCUAACUACGUG
rnacentral:rRNA from 1 species